UUCCGGAUGUUAUUUAACUGGUCCCUUCUGCCAGAUAAAACACAAAGACACACACUGGAAAUCCAAGGUGACAUUUCUACAGUUUGAUGGUCCGUAAGUACUGUUUGAGACUUUGCGAUGGAUACAGAAUCAUUUGAACAUCGGAAACUGAUUCAAAGACGGGAACAGUCAGUGCAAGUAUUAUUCGACGAACUUGAUAAUACUGAGCUUGAUGGAUGCAAAUUUCUUUGCGAACCGUACAUAGAAUCUGCCUCCCUGGAGGGUAUCAGAAAUGGAAGCGAAUUGGUCCCCUUGCUUGCGAGAAAAAGGAGGAUUGAUUUUGAGCAGCCUCACUUUGAUUUUCUGGUUGAGCUUUUGUACAGAGUACACCGACUUGACCUCGUCAUGAAUCUUGGUUCAUCUGCUGAAAAUGUAAGGACGAAAUAUGGCAACAUACAACACACAAAUAUGAUUGCAUUCAGGUGUCUGUUACUAUCCUUAUCGUACGAUCUGACAAAUAAAAACCUGGAAGCAAUAUUGGAGAUAUUGAGAAGUGAUGAUGAUAUAGGGAUUGGGAGGCUGAGCAGAAUAAAAACAGUCCUUGAUUUGUUUCGUCUCUUGAUGAAAGAAGUAAAACUCAAACACGAUGACUUUCAACAGCUCACCCAGAUCGUUGACCUUAUUGGACGCCAGGACCUCUUGUCAAAGAUCCGUCACCAUGAAGACAAAAGUAGGCGCGCCAUCACUCUCCACGCCUCCAUCGAUUCAAUGCGUUCAUCAUAUUGCAACGACACAGGCCGCAAAGCUUACAAGGACAAAGAGACGGUUUUCAUGAUGGAAGAACCGUUGGUUUUAAAAUAUUCAAAACAAUUCACAUGUGUAAAGGAAAUUUACCCUCACAAGGAGUGUUCGAGCCCCCUUCCGGGUCUACAAGGUUUCAACAAUUUGUCAAGUUUGUUAGGAAAACAAUAUGGAAAAGAAACGCCAGCAAAGCAUUCGCCAAAUUUGUCAUCGCAGGGCUUUGUAGCGUCGAUAGAACAUUUUGACACAAGAGCUCCAGAUCUGAUGGACAGCGAACUACUCAGCAAAAUGCCAUGCGAACUUCCUGAACCAAUGUUACCAGCCUAUGACAAAAAGUGGUUUUCAAGUUCAUCGAUAAGAGACCAAGAUGGAAAAGACACUCAAGAAGUAGCAUCACCGGAGCAAAUUGUGUCUUUGCCACCACAAGGAGCGUCCUUCCUGUGAUACUUUGAACAGUCAAAUUGCGAUGUGAAAGACAAAAAGGAGUCCAAAGAAAUAACACCGAUGGAGCCAGUUAUGUCUCUGCCAACUCCAGGAGCGACGUUC
rnacentral:misc_RNA from 1 species